UAAUUGAAGAGUUUGAUCAUGGCUCAGAUUGAACGCUGGCGGCAGGCCUAACACAUGCAAGUCGAACGGUAACAGGGAGCAGCUUGCUGCUCUGCUGACGAGUGGCGGACGGGUGAGUAAUGUCUGGGAAACUGCCUGAUGGAGGGGAUAACUACUGGAAACGGUAGCUAAUACCGCAUAACGUCUACGGACCAAAGUGGGGGACCUUCGGGCCUCAUGCCAUCAGAUGUGCCCAGAUGGGAUUAGCUAGUAGGUGGGGUAACGGCUCACCUAGGCGACGAUCCCUAGCUGGUCUGAGAGGAUGACCAGCCACACUGGAACUGAGACACGGUCCAGACUCCUACGGGAGGCAGCAGUGGGGAAUAUUGCACAAUGGGCGCAAGCCUGAUGCAGCCAUGCCGCGUGUAUGAAGAAGGCCUUCGGGUUGUAAAGUACUUUCAGCGGGGAGGAAGGUGUUGUGGUUAA
rnacentral:rRNA from 1 species